rnacentral:rRNA from 1 species
UGGCUCAGGAUGAACGCUGGCGGCGUGCCUAAUACAUGCAAGUCGAGCGAACUGAUUAGAAGCUUGCUUCUAUGACGUUAGCGGCGGACGGGUGAGUAACACGUGGGCAACCUGCCUGUAAGACUGGGAUCACUUCGGGAAACCGAAGCUAAUACCGGAUAGGAUCUUCUCCUUCAUGGGAGAUGAUUGAAAGAUGGUUUCGGCUAUCACUUACAGAUGGGCCCGCGGUGCAUUAGCUAGUUGGUGAGGUAACGGCUCACCAAGGCAACGAUGCAUAGCCGACCUGAGAGGGUGAUCGGCCACACUGGGACUGAGACACGGCCCAGACUCCUACGGGAGGCAGCAGUAGGGAAUCUUCCGCAAUGGACGAAAGUCUGACGGAGCAACGCCGCGUGAGUGAUGAAGGCUUUCGGGUCGUAAAACUCUGUUGUUAGGGAAGAACAAGUACGAAGAGUAACUGCUCGUACCUUGACGGUACCUAA